UGAGUGCGCAGUGGCAGCGCGCAUGCGCAGUGCGCGGCGCGGCGGGGACGGUCUGGCCGCGGUGGUGGGACGCCCUGAGGGGAACCAUGAGGGGAGCUGGGGCUGUCGCCGGCUCCGGGGCUGCCCGCCGUGCUUCCAGAGCUGUGUGGAGCGUGGAGGCGGCUUCUGAAAGCCAUUUAAAGGUCUGGAGUUUCUUCAGGAAUAUUUUAUGGGAGAGACUGAAAGGCUGUGCUGAAGUCCAGGUGAACACCUGCUGCUCCUCCCUCAACACAGAUGCCUAUCAGAUGAGGAAUAAAGCAUAGUUGGAGAACCUGUUUACAUCACAUCUAUGUACUAACUUACUGGUCCGACUGUGUGAGAGACAGAAAAUGCCGUACUCAGGAAAUAAAUAUGAAGAAAGUCCCAAUGCUUAGAAGCACCCCACUGUCAUUUUCAACUGCUCCCCAUUGUUACAGCAUAGAAAUACCGGCGCGUAGAAGCUAAGUAUUAAAAAAAUCGAUUUUCCUGUCAGUUUGUGUACAUCCAAAUUCUCUUUGGAUGUGGGCAGUUGUGUGCAUCAAGAGGAGAGUAAAACCCUACAGAUACGUCUGAAUUCCAAGUGUCAUUUUCUUUAAACGGAGAAUAAGUGGAUUGGAGCUGGUAAUAUCAAGCAGCUCUUGCAAGCCCUCAACGUUCCUCUUUUGGAUGCAGAAAGAGCUCCACAAAAAAGCAGAAGAGGCUGAAGACAUUCUUCCGUAGGAGUAUGCUUUGAUGAUACAAUUCUGACAGAAGUUUUUGUCACAGCCCCUCACGUCUUGAAACAGAGAUGUUUCAGAAGAUAACCAGUGAAUUUAAGAUCUUCAGCCGAUACUUGGUUUUGAUCCAGUCGUUGCCUGAAAAUUGCCUGUCUGUUAAACUUGUGAAAUCGAUGGUGGAGAAAGAAGUUGGUAAGGGGUGACUCAAAAGCGGCACGUUCCACCAGUGGGUAUACCACCCAGAACACUCUAAAUGUGUAUAGCAUCCCGGCUUGGCAGCGUGCUGGUGCGUGCCAAAUCAGUGGCCUUUUCUGAGGGGACGCGGCGAUUACUGGUAUGAUCAGCUCUCGAGCGUCAGCGAGGGCUCAGUGCUCGUACAAGACAGAAGACCCCGACCCCGUCCCCUGGGCCUGGGUGAGCAGAGCCUCUGCCAAGUCCAGCCGACGAUUUGGAUGCGAGGCUGACUGUGGCCUGCUAAAACGCCCAGUGAUUAUAUGGAAUUAAAGGCUACUCAGCGUACUCGGGUCCUCGUUUCUUACAUGCUUCCAAGGUGGUAACCGCCUGCCGACAGAUUAUGGCUCCUUCCAUUAACUUGUCAUUAAGCAUCCAUAUUUUGAAAUGCUUUCCUCAACUUGGACUCAUCUAUUUGACAUUCUUUUGUGGUGUUGGUCUCAAAUAGUUUAACCUUUCUGAAUUCCUUUCAUAGUUUUUAUAUAAUUUCUCCCGAUGAAAGCUGAAAUUCCUCUUUGAACGUUGGCUCACUUUUAAUUUUAUGCUGUAUCCCACUGUCGUUAGAAAUUAUGGCUGAUUACCAGAUCUGAGUCCAGGAAAAAGCACUUUUAGUACUUUUUUUUUUACUUUAAAAAGAAACUUCUCUACGCUGUUUGUGUAGGUCCCAGUCUACCUUGUAGUCCGUAUUACUUUGCUGGAUUCCUGAAUGAUGUGGAAGGCAAAGUCAAGAGUGUUUGGUCUGGUGCUGCCGGGAAAUGUCUUAUGAAGCACAAAACAGCCCUCCCCUGUUCUGGCAGUUCCCCAUUGCUAGUCUUCCAUUUCUUCGUUCUUCCCUUUUUCUCUUCUUCCCUCUUCGUUCAUGUAGGAGCUGGGUGUUAAUUCUGUGUUAAAUCCUAAACACGCAUAUUCACUGUUGAUGGCUUUCAGUGUUUCCUGUUUCCUUUAACUAAUUUCAACUUGAAGAGCGUGGUUUUGCUCCGUGCCUUUCACCGUUACAGAGCCCACAUUUACACGUUAAGGACCCUUUUGAGGCCCGUGCCCUCAGCCUCAGUGUCGUGUUUGCCUUUUCACCAUUCCUGGUGUUUUAUCUGCAAACUGGUGGUAACUCUUGUUACUUCUGCAUGGUUUGUAGUAGAUUAUAUGACUGCUCUACACUUUUUUAACACUAUAAUCUUCUUGUAUCCUUCCUAAUUUUGAGCAAUUAGCUGAUUAUCUUCCACAGCCAAGCUGCUACAUUUGCCCUUCCUCAUUUUUCCUUUUCCUCUCAAGCAGCAACGACAGUGCUUUGUGAACCUCCCAGAGCAGUCAAGCGCCUGUGCUGUCGCUUGUGCGUGAUCUCUGGGCACGCAGCGCCAUCUGAAGAAGUCUUCAGCAGUCCGAAGGCUCUGCAUUUACAUCCUCAUGUCAACUUUCCUCAACUUUUACGUGAAGUUUUGCUGUACCUGGCUGUAAAGAGAAUGUAGUGCAGCCCAGAACAAGUAUGACUAAAAGGGUACUCCCAGUUAGCACCACCACGGCAACGGAGAUAAAGUGGAGGCUGAGCUCAGGAGAGAGGAAACAAUCUCUUCUUCUGUUCCUCUUCCGUGUGACAAGGUAAUUACCUUGCUCGAGCCCUAAGCAUGUUCCUUAUCUAUCUUUAGAAAUGGAUUCUGCGGCUUUUCCUUCACUUACAAAUUUUUAAAGGCAAUUUGGCAGAGAACAGAACAAGCCAGACGAUGAUUGUGAAAUUGAAGCAGAUCCUGUUAAAAUACAGGUGAAAUGUCUAAGUUCAAUAGGACGUCCUGUGUAUGGCUCCCUCCCUGGGCACAGAACUGUUCACAGCUGACUCAUGACUGCAGAGGUAUUUGGGGAGCUGAAAGAAAACGGACAUGGGAAGGUACGGAGCUCUUAGAAUAGAAGUACGAGAGGAAACAGCCCCAAGUUGCACCUGGGGAGGUUUAGAUUGGAUAUUAGGAACAAUUUCUUCACAAAAGGGUUGUCAGGCACUGGCACAGGCUGCCCAGGGCAGUGGUGCAGUCGCCAUCCCUGGGGGCGUUAAAAGACAUGUAGACGUGGUGCUGAGGGACGUGGUUUAGUGGUGGGCUUGGCAGUGCUGGGUUUAUCGUUGGACUUGACAACUUGAAAGGUCUUUUCCAACCUAAACGAGUCUAUGGUUGGUUCUAUGACUGUAUCUACCAUUUACAAGCAGGCUCCAAAGUCGAUGCAGUGGAGGGCGUGCACCCUGCAUAACACCACCCUGUCUCCCCAGCAGUGAAUAGCCAAAUCAGCAUUUGGAGAGUCAGUUUGCCAUGCGGUCUGCAGGGAGAAGUUCUGAAACCUAGAAAAACAGCAGAUGGUGACUGGCUUUAUUUAUUUAUGCCUUCAACUCUUUAAGAGUUCAGGCUUCGCUGUUUCGUAACUGUGGGUUGUGGCCAUCCUCUUUCUUCCCACGGGUCACAGGGGAGAUCUACAGGGCUAAAAAAAGAUUAGAGUCUUAUUUUUUAUUUAACAAGAUAUAGCAAUUGAUUAGUUACAUGGAUUAAAAAAGAGAAGACUAAAACUCAAGCAAAUAAAGCCCAGUGAUGACACUGAGCUGAGCGGUGCAGUCGAUUUGCUGGAGGGAAGGGCUGCCACCCAGAGGGACCUGGACAAGCUGGAGAAGUGGGCCCAUGUGAACCUCCCAAGCUUCAACAAGGCCAAGUGCAGGGCCCUGCACAGGGGCCGGGGCAGCCCCCGGGAUCAAUCCAGGCUGGGGGAUGGAGGGGUGGGGAGCAGCCCUGCCCAGAAGGACUUGGGGGUGCUGGGGGGUGAAAAGAUGGACACGAGCCGGCAGCGUGCGCUCUCAGCCCAGACCCCCAGCCGUGCCCCGGGCUGCAUCCCCAGCAGCGCGGGCAGCCGGGCGAGGGAGGGGGUGCUGCCCCUCUGCCCCGCUCUGUGAGACCCCCCUGCAGCGCCGCCUCCAGCUCGGGGCUCCUCAGCACGGGACAGACACGGGGCUGUGGGAGCGGGGCCAGGGGGGGCACAGAAAUGCUCCGAGGGCUGGAGCCCCUCUGCUGCGAGGCCGGGCUGGGAGAGCUGGGGUUGUGCAGCCAGAGAAGGGGAGGCUGCGGGGAGACCUUAUUGCAGCCUUCCAGUACCUGAAGGGGGGGCCGUAGGAAGGAUGAGGAUGGAUCCUUUAUCAGGGAGUGUAGGGAUGGGAUGAGGGGUGAUGGUUUUAAACUGAAAGCCAGUAGGUUUAGAUUAGAUAUUAAGAAGAAAUUCUUUACUGUGAGGGCGGUGAAAGCCUGGCCCAGGCUGCCCCGAGAGGCGGUCGAUGCCCCAUCCCUGGGAACACCCAAGGCCAGGCUGGACGGGGCUCUGAGCAACCUGCUCUGGCUGAAGGUGUCCCUGCUCACGGCAGGGGGUUGGGCUGGGUGGCCUCUAAAGGUCCCUUCCCACCCAACUUCCAACCCCUUCUGUGACUGAGCUGGAACAGCAAUAAUGUGAAUAAUGAAUAGAACACAGUAGAUGAAAAAGCAGUGCCAAGGACAUGACAUCACUUCUAACACAGCCAUAACAAUGAAAGGAAUAGUUUAAAAUAUUCAUAAAUAUUAUGGAGCUCUAAAAUCAAGUGUUUUAUUCACGAACACUAUCUGGACACUCCUGAUGUCUGAAAAAAAAAAAAAAUUUAAAAGUCUUAUUUAGGAAAAGGGGACCAUCAGGGGCUCCCUGGAGCAUGAAGCCCAACACAUCAGUAGCGACAGACCACCCCUGUAGCUCCGUGUAUUCUCUGCUGGUUUACAUUUUGUCACACAGCCGCUGUCUCCCAAGGUCUAGCAAGGCUUAUCCACAGCUCGUGCGGCCCCAUUGUCCUUGCACCAGUGCUGAGCAGCUGCUUUGCCCCCUUAAUAGUUGUCCUGGUGACAGACAGCCUUUUACCUUUCGGUUUUUAACUCGGGCUUCUCACCACGUCGGAGCCUCUCCCUGAUUAUUCAGCAGCCUUUCAGUGCCCUUGUUCCAGCGUGGCUAGCCUGCCCUGCCCGCGGGCGAGUGGCACCACGCGGCGCAUCUGCCUGCCCUCACGGAGUUCGUCGCUGCUGGCAGUACCGCACUUCCAGAACUGCUUCUCCUUCCCAGGGCUGACUCAGACCGACGGCUUACGAUCACAGGGUAAGACUGAUUAAUACACCCAGGGCCUUCUCUCCCCGCCCCAGUUACUGCGCACCCACUCCCAGAGCAGAAGCUUGUGUUAGUUGUCCCUGAACACCUUGAGACGUGGGUGCGCAUGGCUGAAUGUCACGUCACGGCUUGCUUGAGCUGGGCUUUCCCACGUCCGCAUGCACGUGUAGCCCAAGUUUGUGUCAUCGGCUCAGUGUGCUGGGAUACUCCCAGCUUUUGGGGCAAGUGUCACUGAUGAAAGGCCUUAGAAAGAUGCACGUCCAGACCGGCCCCUGAGGGAUUCCACGAGGCUUCUCCAUCCAACCUGGUACCCUCCUUUCAGCGCUACCUGUUAAGCCCCUUUGAACCAGUUCUUUUACUUUAUAUUUAUCUCCUCAAGUUUUAUUACUGAUUUCCCACAUAACUGUUUCUUGUAUCAUUUUUACUACUGAAGAUACCCCUUAUUUUAUCUGAUGAGAAACGAUUUAUCGUGCCACGCACCGAAUUAGUCUGCACACCCCUUGGGCGGGAGCGCGUGGCUUUGUGUCCCACUUAGCAGCACGACUUCAGCAUCAGAACUGCCGGGGCCUCGCGUACGACUGAUGUAAGCGCCUCUCAAAUGCCGGCAGCGCCGUGCGGCACAGGCUGCCACAGCUCUCCUGACGCUGCCGGUACCUGAGCUGCGGCGCCUCUGUCGGCCCUUUCAAAAAGCCAUCGCCUGGUUGCGGCGGUGCGAGUAACGGCAUCCUCAGUGAGCACAGGAGGAGUAUUACUGCUGCUUUGGGCGGGGUUUGGGCCGCGCCUGAAGAGUAUCGCUAAUCAUCGUUUCUUCUUUUCCUCUUUUUGCGGUCUGUCUCUACGUGAGGUGGUAGAAUUGAGGGGGGGUGUCUGCUAACGCUACGUCAAACUCAGCGGGACGUCUUGUAGUCGCUCUUUGCAGGACGCAGAUUUCUUUAUGGCUCUUUGCUUCUCCAUUUUACGGUCACUCUUUACGCUCCUGACAUGAUUAUUCCCACGGGCAGGUUCACAGCCCCGUCACGGUACCUUUCCACACUUGAAAUAGAGAUUGUUGCUAGUUCUAAUAUAUUCCGAGAAAAGAAAUCCCAGGCUUCCUACACAUUCCCAGGCGCCUCAGUCCCGCUGAUUUUACUGACGUUAAGUGCAGUCAGCGUUUACCUGUCAGAAAUCCACAGAGCCGGCUACAGAGCUAUUUCUCCGAGUCCCUCCGUGUGAGAGAAACCACGGUGCCACCACCUGGCACAGGUCUCUGCCUGUUCCUCUCUUUCUCCCAAACCUACGGUUCAACGCCCCGAAACGCUUCAGGGCCCCAAGACGUGAGGCUCGAGGGAACUGCAGUGUUUGUUAAGGCUUUGUAUUAAACCAAAGUUUUCCCCUCGAAAUGUGUCGAAAAAAUUUUCCAGAUGUCCUCAGCUAAUAAAGCCAGAAAAAUGUAGUUUGUUGUCAUUUAUCAGGGCCCCAUGAGAGACAAAGGUAAUCGUUGGAAAAUCAACAUUAGCAGUACUAGCGACCAUAAAAUCAUAUGCUUUUUAUUUAACAUAAAAUGAAACAUUAGGAGAAAAUACACAUUUGUCCAUGUGCUGAAGAACUACUGUAUUUUACAUUCAUUUAUAAAGCAGGUAGUUUUACAUGACAAAAAUAAGUGAGAGGAAGAGGAACAGAAUCCGCAAUAAGACGGAAGCCACAGGGCAGGCUUUUGCUUGUCAAAGUGCUAUCUCCUAAGGGCACACAGAUCUUCAAGUGACAGGUUAGGAACGGGCUGGUUUUAGCGCUCCUCAGAUCCCUCGUAAUGCUGGUGAGAAGCUAAGGUGGAAUCUUAUACAGCAAAAUGAGUGGAAAAACUCGUUGACAAAUCGCCCUUUGCCAAAAUGCAUAGCUGCAGCACGGCGGACCGCGUUCGUCCCUGCUGUAUUGCGCCUUUGCUCGAACCGGCCCGUGAGGUUUUCUUAAAUGCCUAAAAGUUACGUUACUGAACUACAAUUGCUUCUUUUUUUAAUUAUUGUUUUCCCCUUACAAACCUCGCCACGGUUCUUAUUUCAGUGUGACUUUGCGAACGGGCUGCGAUAGGGUUUGGGCUUACAGUCGCGCAGAAGAUUUGCGGCAACGGAAGGUGCUGCGAAUCCAGCGAAGGCGGCUCUCUGUGGGGGUGCCCUUGGCACGCCUCUAGACGCCAGAGCGCGAAAAACCCGACUGAACGCUCUGCCCCUGAGGCUCGGGGCCACGCCUGGCCCGCCCAGCUGCAGGUGGGCUAAGAGCACCCGCACAGACGGGACAGUUCAAGUCGCGUCAGUCGGGAAACAGUCCCGCGGCAAGCUGCCGUAGCUGUGUGGUACUUACGUGUUUCCAGGCCCGCCGUGCCUGCGGGGCCACGCUCCUGGCCUCUGGGCUGCGGGGAGCCUGCAGGCCCGGCCUCCGCACGUUACAGCCCCGGCCUCCACGCGUUACAGCCCCAGCCUCCGCAUGUUACAGCCCGGCCUCCGCACGUUACAGCCCCGGCCUCCACACGUUACACCCCAGCCUCCACGUGUCACACCCCGGCCUCCACACGUCACACCCCGGCCUCCGCAUGUUACAGCCUGGCCUCCACGUGUUACAGCCCUGGCCUCCACACGUCACACCCCAGCCUCCACACGUCACACCCCGGCCUCCACGUGUUACAGCCCGGCCCGGCUCUUCCAAUACAAAAUCUAUAACGCAGCAUCCGAGAAGUCUUAACUGAAAGGUACGGGAGACAGUCGGUUUUACGUUUUAAGUCGGGACGGGAAGGAAUGGGAGAUGCAGCAGUACCAGGGGAAUAAGGAAUGUUUUUUCAUUUUAAAAAAGUGCAGCAGAUCAAAACACGUUGCUAUUAUAUAUUUUGUCUAACCCAUAUACCUUAAAUACGAAAACAAAUACAAAAGCUGUUAAUUCUCAGGCCUGUGGUGACUUUGCAAGGUGAAACGCCACCAGAAGACCGAGGUGAAGCUGGUCUUGCUAUGUACACUUCCUACCCAAGCGCCAGCCGUGCGUCGGUGCGCGCACGCGCACACGCAGCUGCGCCGCCCCCGCCCCCACGCAUACGCGCCCCCAGGCCGCGGGCUUUCUCAUAGUGCAACUGUUUAUAGAGCGAAAGCCCCGCUCCGCGGGCCGGCGGCAAGUUUUGACCAAGUAUCGGGUGCCACGGUCUGUUUUUUCUCAAGAGAUUCCUAUAACAAUUGUAGCAGUAUAAAAAUACCAGUGGCCUGCCUUUUCACGGUUCGGAUUUGUACUUUUAGACCGUGACUCAUUAAUGCGUCUUCUUUCCCCACAUUCAGUUUCCUUCCCUGUAAGUCCCAGCAACAGAGAGCCGCUGUAAACACCUCCAAUUUACAGACAGGAUUCCUGCAAUCGCUUGCUGGAGGAAGUGGAAUAGCGUAAAUGUCAUCUGAGACUCGUCCGAGCCAAAGGGGGCAUCACAGAGAAGGGGCCGCACCGUGCCGCCCGCCCCGGGGGCCCCUUCGCCUCCCUGCGCGCUCUGGGCGCACAACCGGGGCCAGCAAUGGCAGGGCGGCCCAUCUCCUCGGCUUUCAGAAACGGGGAUGUACAGAAGGAGCCGUUACUUGUUGUUUGCUCUAAUAUAGUUCCGCGACGCCGCGCCAGGAGGCCGGGGUGUCUCAGCUUCACCUGAAAGCGCCGCUGCCUCCCCACCUGCACCCCUUCGGAGCCCGGCCCGCCCUGCGGCCGCCCGGUGCUGCCUGCGCCUAUCAGAUAGUGGCGGCUCAAGCAGGGCACCUCUAGGAUCCCGUUCCUCAUAAGCACUCGCUCCGUUUCUAGUAGCUGCAAAGAUGUAUCAUCCUCUAUGGUGCGGCUUUCGCCAAAAUUCCUGCAAAGUAAAAAAAAAACAAACCAAA